rnacentral:rRNA from 1 species
GGGGAAUAUUGCGCAAUGGGGGGAACCCUGACGCAGCAACGCCGCGUGAAGGAAGAAGGCCUUCGGGUUGUAAACUUCUUUGAUGAGGGACGAAACAAAUGACGGUACCUCAAGAACAAGCCACGGCUAACUACGUGCCAGCAGCCGCGGUAAUACGUAGGUGGCGAGCGUUGUCCGGAAUUACUGGGUGUAAAGGGCGUGUAGGCGGGAGUGUAAGUCAGAUGUGAAAUACCAUGGCUCAACUGUGGGGCUGCAUCUGAAACUACAUUUCUUGAGUGCUGGAGAGGAAAGCGGAAUUCCCAGUGUAGCGGUGAAAUGCGUAGAUAUUGGGAGGAACACCAGUGGCGAAGGCGGCUUUCUGGACAGUAACUGACGCUGAGGCGCGAAAGCGUGGGGAGCAAAC